UCCCCGUUCUCCUGGGCAGCCUCUCGGACAUGUCAAGGGUAGGUAAGGUUUUUCGCGUUGCAUCGAAUUAAUCCACAUAAUCCACCGCUUGUGCGGGUCCCCGUCAAUUCCUUUGAGUUUUAACCUUGCGGCCGUACUCCCCAGGCGGUCGACUUCACGCGUUAGCUUCGUUACUGAGAGUGUCAAACCCCCAACAACCAGUCGACAUCGUUUAGGGCGUGGACUAC
rnacentral:misc_RNA from 1 species